rnacentral:rRNA from 1 species
AAGUCCCGCAACGAGCGCAACCCCUAUCCUUAGUUGCCAGCGAUUCGGUCGGGAACUCCAAGGAGACUGCCGGUGACAAACCGGAGGAAGGUGGGGACGACGUCAAGUCAUCAUGGCCCUUACGAGAUGGGCUACACACGUGCUACAAUGGCAAGUACAAAGGGUUGCAAACUCGCGAGAGUAAGCGGAUCCCAUAAAGCUUGUCGUAGUCCGGAUUGGAGUCUGCAACUCGACUCCAUGAAGUCGGAAUCGCUAGUAAUCGUGGAUCAGAAUGCCACGGUGAAUACGUUCCCGGGCCUU